rnacentral:rRNA from 1 species
AUACGGAGGGUGCAAGCGUUGUUGGGAAUCACUGGGCGUAAAGGGCGCGCAGGCGGUUUGGUAAGUCAGAUGUGAAAGCCCACGGCUCAACCGUGGAAGUGCAUUUGAAACUGUCAGACUUGAGUACUAGAGGGGAAAGUGGAAUUCCCGGUGUAGAGGUGAAAUUCGUAGAUAUCGGGAGGAAUACCGGUGGCGAAGGCGGCUCUCUGGAACGAUACUGACGCUGAGACCCGAAAGCGUGGGGAGCAAACAGGAUUAGAUACCCCAGUAGUCC